GAUGAACGCUGGCGGCGUGCCCAAUACAUGCAAGUCGAGCGAACGGACGAGAAGCUUGCUUCUCUGAUGUUAGCGGCGGACGGGUGAGUAACACGUGGAUAACCUACCUAUAAGACUGGGAUAACUUCGGGAAACCGUAGCUAAUACCGGAUAAUAUUUUGAACCGCAUGGUUCAAAAGUGAAAGACGGUCUUGCUGUCACUUAUAGAUGGAUCCGCGCUGCAUUAGCUAGUUGGUAAGGUAACGGCUUACCAAGGCAACGAUGCAUAGCCGACCUGAGAGGGUGAUCGGCCACACUGGAACUGAGACACGGUCCAGACUCCUACGGGAGGCAGCAGUAGGGAAUCUUCCGCAAAGGGCGAAAGCCUGACGGAGCAACGCCGCGUGAGUGAUGAAGGUCUUCGGAUCGUAAAACUCUGUUAUUAGGGAAGAACAUAUGUGUAAGUAACUGUGCACAUCUUGACGGUACCUAAUCAGAAAGCCACGGCUAACUACGUG
rnacentral:rRNA from 1 species